UUUUCACUCUCUCACCUCCUACGUCGGCGCCUCUUCCAAACCAUAGAAACCAGCACCGAUUCUCGCCGGAAAAACUGCAGCCUACCACCAAAUCACCGCCAGAGCAGACUCUACUACACCUUACAAAGUCCAUACCAACCCCUUCCCACAGUUAAUCCAACGAUUUAGACCUAAAUGACUACCAAAACAAUCUCAAACCCUAGUUUUCUAAAAAUCAAUUGACGACGAAGGAUACCCCCGCCGACGGCUAACCGACUCCUCCAUAGGCGAUUAAACUUAAACGACGAACGGUGCUGUCAAAGCCGAUCCAAAACAGCAAAAAACCACCGAUAUAAAAAUCAAUUAUAUCAAAAUUGGUUUCGAUUGAAGAAUCGGCCAGAAUGGACGAAUGGUGGAACACUUUCUACGAUUCAACAAAAAGAUCGACAACAUUGGACAAAAACACAACAAAAAUUCGAAAAGCUGCAACCUAAGAUGCCAGAUAAGAUAAGUACCUUCAUAAUAAGUUCAUUUCACAAAAUUUUUUUGUUGCAUCCUUAUUUCAGUAUCAGAGUAAUAACCACACGACGAACUCCAAUCGAUCAACACCUCCAUGAUUUGAUGCAACUUAAACCAAAAUCAUAUACACAAACUGAUAGAACGAAUGAAUAAGAACUUCAUUGAUGAUGAGGAUUACACAAAUGGAACUUAAAUGUAAAUGGAAACAAAAGAUACAAUGAUAAGAGGAACACGAUAUAUUCAACGGAGAAUCACCGGAUCACCGGAUUCUCACGAUGACCACAGCUCGCAAGCUCACACAAAUUUCAUGGAUACUCUCAAAGAUGAGAGUCUCUGCAUUUAUACCCAAUCCAUUUUCCUUCUUCUCUUCUUUGCAUUUAGAUCCCUCAACUUUCCUUCUAUCUCAUUUCUGUUGAGCUGGCGUGGCCCUCCAGCUGGCAUAUCAAUUGAGUCAAUUGAGCUGAGUUUCUUUUCCAUUCUAAUAAUUCGUGACUCUAACAAUUUCAGCUUCUACAAGUUUAGUUGUUUCUUAAAAAGGGCACGAAAUACACACUUAUGUUUAUAUCAUUAUGAGAUUUCAGAUUGAUGCAACAAACUUGGAUAUAAGAGGAUUUAUUAAAAUUUAUGAAACUGUGAAAAUUUAGAAGUCUAUUACAAAUUAUAGAGUGUUAUGACUUUUCACUUCAUAUAUCAAAUGCUUUUCCUAUAGAAAUUUCACUGCUGAACAAUGGGAGAAUUCACCACUUUGAAAGAGGAAAAAGAUCAUUUACAAAUUGCUCAAAAGAAGAAGCACAAAAUCAGUUUUUCUGAAUUUAUGAACUAUAUUGAUAUAAACAUUCUAUAAAUACUAUCAUUGGAUCUUAUACUUUACUGCAACUGACUCUCCAAAAAAAAAAACACUUACAACUGUCUAAUUACAGGAGUAAACUUGAAAGACAAAGCUAUAUGCAAGAAGAAGAAGGAAAAAAAGAAUCUACAGUGGAUUCAUCAAUGCAAACAGAGCAAGCAAUCUGUGGAAUAGGAAGAGUGCAAAGAUGUAGAAGAAUGAAACAUAAGUAAUAAACAAAUAUAGGAACACCUCCAAAGACACGAACGCAACGAACCUUAACAAUUGAGUUAGUAAUGGCAGUGUAAAGAUUCUGAAGCAAGGUGGACAACAUAAAUAUUCCACGAAACGAAUAUAAGAAGAUGACCAAUAUGCAGGGAAGAGAACUACAAUUUCUGAAAGAUAGGUGCACAAAUCAAAUUGGAAGAAAUCAAGAUCAAUAGAACAAAGUUGAGAACAAAGAAAAGAGAGAACAUAUAGAAGAUAUAACACAUCAAAGGUAUACCAAGAGUAGAGGUGGGAAUAUGGAUAUCGGGAUCGAUAUCCACCGGGUAUUGGAUACCCAAUAUCCAAUUUUAUGGGAUUGGGUAUGGGAUUGGAUAUUGAAAUUUAAGAUAAAUCGGGUAUCGGGUAACCCGAAUGAGUAUCGGAUAUUACCCGAAUAUCCAAUUUAUUAUUUAAAGUAUUUUUAAAUUAGGUUUAGCCAUUUUAGACUUCUAAGAGCUGGGCUAAUUUAUUUACUACUAGACUAACUUUCUCUUAACUUAUAUAAAAUAAGUCGAUCUCUCUUAUUCUAGGUCACGACUUCUCCAAACUCUCAAGUUUUACGUAUUGCAUAACCAACUCAAGUGGUUUUUAUAUUUUAGUUAAUUAUUUUGACUUUUAAAAUUAUAUUAUUGGUUGUUUCAACAGUUUAAUUAAAUGCAUAACUUUUAUUAUUUUACUUACAUAUUGAAUAACCAACCCCCAUAAUUAUAAUCAUAUACUUUAAAAUAAAAAUAACCCAUUUUUUUUAGUUUUAUACUAUAAAAUAAAUGCACCAUUAAAGAUAUCAGUAAAUUUAAAUAUUUCUUUAUUUAUAUUAAUAUAAUAAAGUUUGAUUUUUUUUAUUACUAGUUAUUACACAUGUAAAGAGUCGGGUAUUUGGGUACCUGAUACGUCGGGUAUGGAUACCCAGGGCGGGUAUUGGAGUACCCGAAAAUACAUCGGGUCGAAUUUUGGAUAGACAUUUAGAUGAUUUUCGGGUUUGGGUACCCGGUUUUUUUGGGUCGGGUAUCCACGGAUACCCGUAUUCCCACCCCUAACCAAGAGAUAAAAAAAACCCCAAUCAAGGAUGAGCCGCUUCUCAUUUUCAAGGAUGAAGAGAGAGAAAAUCCUGCUGCAACCAAUAGAAACCAAGCAGGCAUAAGAUGCAUGCCUAUAUACCUCUCCUAAUCUGCAAAUACGUCUCAAUGUGAAGGAGAAAGAGAGAGAAUAUUGGAUGGAAUCAUUACACAGAGAAAGAACAAAGAAUAUGCACGCUUAAACCUUUAAUAUUCUAAUCCAUAUUUCUUAAACCUUUUAAGAACCUAAUCCAUAUUUCUUAUGGAUAUGCAGGAUUCCUUCAUAUAUUCUAUGAAGACAGAAUUUUGACAUCUUACAAUCUACAAAAUGAAGUAAUUUUGACAUCUUACAAUCUACAAAAUGAAGAAGAAGAAGAAGAAGAAGAAGAAGAAGAAGAAGAAUAACUUAAAGACACUUAAGAAGUAUAAUUUAUACUAACAUACUCACCAACAAUUAAUUCGAUUUGCAGGUUACCAUAACAUAUAAUUACAUACAGGCUUGAAGACAUUAAGAAUAUACACCAAUUUGUGCACUAAGGAAGAGGAAGGAUCAAAACAAAAGAAAAUGAAGCAUUGGAAUUUGGAGAAG